UCUUCCUCCAGAGUAACCAUGUGAGCCCAGGAAGACAGGACGCUUGCCACUGGGAAAUUUAACUGAUUUCAGAUGAGAAUGUUAUUUUAUUCAUUAAGUCUCUAAGUUCUGCCUUCUGGACAUAACCAAAUCAACAGAAUUAACACUUCAAAUCGAUGGACUCACUAAAAGGCAACACAGUGUUUUCUUGUUCAGUCCUCCUUUGCAUCAGAUGUAAUAAGCUUGCAGGUGAUGUUGGAUGAGUGGCCCUAAAGGACUCUAAUAUUAUGACAAAUAGUGCCCUAAAGAGGAACUUAUCUGUGCCUUUUACAGACUUAUUUAUCUAGCAUUUGAAUCUGAGAUUCCCCUCACAUUAUAAGUGUUCAAGCUCAUUAUUGCUACCACAUAGCAGAAUGAAACAAACCUGAAAGCAUGAGCACUAUGAGGAGACUGUUCAAACCAGACAGACAGAAAAAUCACCGUUAUUGAAUCAUUCUAUUUAGAUAACAUAUACCAUCUCAUCCUUGUAAAUCACAGUACUUGGAAGGAGGAAGUAUGAAGAUGAUUAGUUCAAGGCUAGCAUGGCUGGGAAUGAACAACAUUUGGACAGCAUGUGAAAGCCCUUGGACCUAAUUUUUAGCAUGAUGGUGCAGGGGUGGGGGGAGAAGCUCUCUUUAGUUUAUCUUGUAAAAGGUUUGAUUUUAAUAUAAUGGUUAUUUUCAUGUAAUUAUACCUGCUUAGUGUGCAUUUAAUCAAAAUUGUUGGAUGAUGUGAAGAGAAGAGCAUUGUCCAAAGCAAUUAGAGUUCAAUGAUAGGGAAAAAAUGUUGGCUUACAAUUGCCUAGGUGCAAGUAAAAGAAUUAUUAGUAUUAAUUCCAGGAAGUGAAUUUCAAACAUAGCUGCCAUUCAUCUUGGUCUCUGAAGUUAUCUUAGAAUUAGAUAAAAAGGAAUCUGGGUUUUUGAGGGACAACAGCUGCUCUGUGUGGUUGUGACUGUGGCUGCUCCUUUGUGAUCCAUGCAUGUGCUAUGCCUCUCCUGAGUGCCUUCUCUAACUUGCUCUUGGUAUUUAGACCACACAGGCUCCAACCCUAUAAGCUGCCAAUUGGCAAUUUGCUCCUAAUGAAAUGUUUCUAUCACAAAGAGGUCAAACAAAGAUACAUUUGUCUCUGAUGUACAGCUACAUCCAAUUUAUUUCUCUACAUUUGCUGUAGAAUUUUGCUUUGUAUUAUUAAAGAGCUGUAUAUACCUUCAUCUUAUAGACAAUGGAGUCUCUCCCACAUAUCGGCCUCCCCUAGAAUACCUAACUCCAUAUUUUAUUUUCACCUCCAGGAAUUUUUAGAAGACUACACAUGAAUUCAUCAGAGAUAUAUAGAAUUAUUUUCAAUUAAUAUUUCUUGUAAAUAAAAGUGUUUAUGUUUUCAAGUUUUGUAUGAGACAUUUUAAAAAUUCAUCCUUUUUGACACAUGAUUAUGAGCUCCUUCAUUGUAAAUAUGCAUGCCAAAUAUACAAGUUUAUUAAGUAUCCUACUCAUUUAAAAUUUAGUUUGUUUGGGGGACUUUUUGUUCCUAGCUCUCAGGUGAAUAUCUUUUCACCAGAUUUUCCUAUGUACAGGUACUAACUACAGUGGGAAAACAGAUAUUGCAAAGUUAAACAUGCAUAAAUUUUGGAACUUAUUGGAUUUAAAAAAAUUCCUUUCUGUACUGGUUAGUUUUGUGUCAACUUGAUACAAGCUAAGAUCAUUAGAGAAGAAAGAGCCUUAGUUGAAGAAAUGACCCAGCUGUAAGGCACUUUCUCAACUAAUGAUCAAUGUGGGUUGAUUCAGCCCAUUGUGGAUGAUGUGAUCCCUGGGCUGGUGGUCCUGGGAUCUAUAAGAAAGCAGGCUGAGCAAGCCAGGGUAAGCAAACCAGUAAAAAGCUCCUCUCCAUGGUAUCUGUGUCAGCUUCUGCUCCAGGCUCUAUCACUGACUGAGAUCUGGUUCUGACCUCCUGCCAUGAUAGACUAUAGUAUGGAAGUAUAAGCCUAAUAAACCCUUUCCUCCUCAACUUGCUUUUUGGUCAUGGUGUUUAGUUGCAGCAAUAGAAACCCUAGCUAACACACUUUCUAAUACAAAAAGUCAAUUUAUGUGACCAACAAGAAUAUGUGCUCUCUCCUUCUCCCCAUAAUGUUGCCAAAACUUGUUUUUAACCAGGUUAUUUGCUUCCUUCGGAUUUUAUUAUUACUUAGGGAUGUUUCUUAUGUUUUCAAGGGUUUAACCUUGCCGCCUUCAGGAAUUCUUCCCUAUACUUUGCUCUACUUUAUGGUCCCUGGCUAUCCAUUUCUAUGAGGAAACACCAUGAACAAAAGCCACUUGAGAAGGAAAGAGUUCAUUUCAUCUUACAGCUCUCCAGUCAUAUUCCAUCAAUGAGAAAAAUAGAGAUAAGAACUCAAGGCAGAAACCUAGAGGAAGUAACUGAAGCCCGGGCCAUGGUUGAUCAGGAGCACUGCUAACAUUGCUUUCCUUGUCUUAUUUAGUUUAAUUUCUUAUAACACCGAGAAUCAUAAGCCCAGGAGUGCCAUCAACCCUAGUGACCUGGGCCCUGCCACAUGAGACAUCUAAAGGCAUGCCAAACAGGGUUGCUCACAGGCCAAUCUAGAGCAGGCAUGUUAUCAACUGUGGUUCAUGCGUCCAACAUGUCCAGUCAACAUAAGACUAGACAGAAUAAGAAGAGUAUAACUAAACUUUGGGCUUGCAUGACAAUGGCUGGCCAAUGCAUAUUUUGUUUUGUUUUUGUUUUGUUUUUGUUUUUUGGGUAUUUUUUGUGCCCCCUUGUUUUCUGUCUACAAAUGAAAUAUGUACUUUUGAGCAUCAAUCAUGAAAGUCAUGACAAAUAUUUACUGGUUUUUGUGGAAAAAUCUUAAAAGAACAAAAGAUAAAACAGGUUUUUGGUGGAAGAAGAUUCCAGUUUAUAUACAAACAGCCCUGAUGUAAACAGAUGAGGAAGUAGAUGUCACAAUAAAAUAUCUUUGUUUUGUGUCUUUUCACCUAGGAUACAUCUUCUCAUAUGCACUUAAAUUUCAGGUCACAGAAAGUGCUUAGAAGAACCUGCCACUUUGUCCACAUGUAGGAAUCCAUGCAAACUGCUUAUUUUUUCGGGUGAAAUGAAAUGGAAGUACAUCAGGCUUAAUCCACAUUUCAAACUUUGUAAAGAUGAAAGAUGCAUUUAUGUUUCUCUUUAUUCUUUUGUUUGACACCAUCUGCCAUGGUUAUAUUGACAUGAGUGUACUGACCUGGGAGUGAGGAGCACAAUACAAAGUGACAUUCAA